rnacentral:rRNA from 1 species
CAGCCGCCGCGGUAAUACGUAGGGUGCGAGCGUUAAUCGGAUUUACUGGGCGUAAAGCGUGCGCAGGCGGCCCGUUAAGACAGGUGUGAAAUCCCUGGGCUCAACCUAGGAAUUGCGCUUGUGACUGGCGGGCUCGAGUACGGUAGAGGGGGGUGGAAUUCCUGGUGUAGCAGUGAAAUGCGUAGAGAUCAGGAGGAACACCGAUGGCGAAGGCAGCCCCCUGGGCCUGUACUGACGCUCAUGCACGAAAGCGUGGGGAGCAACCAGGAUUAGAUACCCUGGUAGUCCACGCCCUAAACGAUGGGUACUAGCCGUUUGGUGCGCGAGAGCGCUGAGUGGCGAAGCUAACGCGUGAAGUACCCCGCCUGGGGAGUACGGCCGCAAGGUUGAAACUUAAAGGAAUUGGCGGG